GGAUUAGAUACCCUGGUAGUCCACGCCGUAAACGAUGGAUACUAGCUGUUGGGCGCAAGUUCAGUGGCUAAGCGAAAGUGAUAAGUAUCCCACCUGGGGAGUACGUUCGCAAGAAUGAAACUCAAAGGAAUUGACGGGGGCCCGCACAAGCGGUGGAGCAUGUGGUUUAAUUCGAUGAUACGCGAGGAACCUUACCAAGGCUUAAAUGUAGAUUGACCGGUUUGGAAACAGACUUUUCGCAAGACAAUUUACAAGGUGCUGCAUGGUUGUCGUCAGCUCGUGCUG
rnacentral:rRNA from 1 species